rnacentral:rRNA from 1 species
GACGAACGCUGGCGGCGUGCUUAACACAUGCAAGUCGAACGGAAGGGCCCUGCUUUUGUGGGGUGCUCGAGUGGCGAACGGGUGAGUAACACGUGAGUAACCUGCCCUUGACUUUGGGAUAACUUCAGGAAACUGGGGCUAAUACCGGAUAUGAGCUCCUGCUGCAUGGUGGUGGUUGGAAAGUUUCGGCGGUUGGGGAUGGACUCGCGGCUUAUCAGCUUGUUGGUGUGGUAGUGGCUUACCAAGGCUUUGACGGGUAGCCGGCCUGAGAGGGUGACCGGCGACAUUGGGACUGAGAUACGGCCCAGAAUCCUACGGGAGGCAGCAGUGGGGAAUAUUGCACAAUGGGCGGAAGCCUGAUGCAGCAACGCCGCGUGCGGGAUGACGGCCUUCGGGUUGUAAACCGAUUUCGACUGAGACGAAGAGUGAGUGAUGGUAAUGGGUAAAGAAGCAACAGCUAACUACGUG